CUGAAAAAACACAGAUGGCUAAAAGGGAACCUGAGGUUAUGAUGCUUUAAAUAAACAAAAAAACUUAAGACAAUUGCAUUCCAGAGUUGCCUUUUGCCUCCAAAUUCUCACAAGUUUGUAAGGGAGCAGUCUUUUGCACCAGACAGUUUCUGGGAAACUCAUCGAAUACAUGGGUGGGAGGAUGAGUCGAAGUGGUCUGCCCAGUGCCCCCUGAAGAGCCCUCCCCUCUGCUGCUAUGGAGCUGUUCUUCACCAGGUCCUUAAUCACUUGCAUAAAAAGUUGAAGAACAUGUCAAAGAAGUCUGAAGCAUCCAAG
rnacentral:lncRNA from 10 species